rnacentral:tRNA from 1 species
ACUAUCAAAGGACAGUAGCUGAUCCGUUGGUCUUAGGAACCAAAAACCCUUGGUGCAAAUCCGAGUGAUAGUU